CUGAGGUGAGGUAGUAGGUUGUAUAGUUGAGAAGUACAACAUUGGAGAUGACUGUACAACCCGUUACCUUUUUUCGGGUCAU
rnacentral:pre_miRNA from 1 species